AGGUGUACGAGGUAGAUCCACAGGAAAAUCUGUGGAUCUACCUCGUACACCUCU
rnacentral:pre_miRNA from 1 species